GGUUUGGUGAAGAGGGGAAGAGAAAGAAGAUGUUGGGUCAAUUAAGAAUUCAAUAUAUACGAGUGUACCAUUUCAGUGUCGAAUGUUACAACCGAAUGUUUAUAUGACUUAGCAAUUGGGAUGUCCUGGCUUUAUAAAAUAAAGUUUAGAUCUGGAAGGUAAAAUUAGUAACUAUACUUUGUUUUCCGUCUUAUCUAAAUUGUAAAAUAAAUUGCCAUUUCCUUAACCAUUCGUCCAGCUUAUUAUUUCGUG
rnacentral:lncRNA from 1 species